rnacentral:rRNA from 1 species
AAUCAACGCUGGCGGCGUGCCUAACACAUGCAAGUCGAGCGCGAAAGGGGAGCAAUCCCCAAGUAGAGCGGCGAACGGGUGAGUAACGCGUGGGUAAUCUGCCUCCGAGUGGGGAACAACACCGGGAAACUGGUGCUAAUACCGCAUGACAUCGUUGGACCUUCGGAUCUGACGAUCAAAGACCGGGGACCGGCAAGGCCUGGCGCUUGGAGAGGAGCCCGCGUCCGAUUAGCUAGUUGGUGGGGUAAGUGGCCCACCAAGGCUACGAUCGGUAGCCGGCCUGAGAGGGCGGACGGCCACACUGGGACUGAGACACGGCCCAGACUCCUACGGGAGGCAGCAGUGGGGAAUUUUUCGCAAUGGGCGAAAGCCUGACGAAGCAACGCCGCGUGGAGGAUGAAGGCC